rnacentral:rRNA from 1 species
UACGUAGGGUGCAAGCGUUGUCCGGAAUUAUUGGGCGUAAAGAGCUCGUAGGCGGUCUGUCGCGUCGGCUGUGAAAUCCCGAGGCUCAACCUCGGGUCUGCAGUCGAUACGGGCAAACUGGAGUGUUGCAGGGGAGACUGGAAUUCCUGGUGUAGCGGUGAAAUGCGCAGAUAUCUGGAGGAAUACCGGUGGCGAAGGCGGCAUCCUGGACCGAGAUUGACACUGAGGAGCGAAAGCCAGGGGAGCAAACGGG